UAUAAGUUUGAUUUCUUAACCCUCAAGCGACUGAGUGCAGUAAUUUAUGACCCCGGGCAUAUAUUCUUGUGCACCAUUUUUCUAAUUUUAAU